rnacentral:rRNA from 1 species
GACGAACGCUGGCGGCGUGCUUAACACAUGCAAGUCGAACGGAAAGGCGCUGCUUUUGUGGGGUGCUCGAGUGGCGAACGGGUGAGUAACACGUGAGUAACCUGCCCUUGACUUUGGGAUAACUUCAGGAAACUGGGGCUAAUACCGGAUAGGAGCUCCUGCUGCACGGUGGGGGUUGGAAAGUUUCGGCGGUUGGGGAUGGACUCGCGGCUUAUCAGCUUGUUGGUGGGGUAGUGGCUUACCAAGGCUUUGACGGGUAGCCGGCCUGAGGGGGUGACCGGCCACAUUGGGACUGAGAUACGGCCCAGACUCCUACGGGAGGCAGCAGUGGGGAAUAUUGCACAAUGGGCGGAAGCCUGAUGCAGCAACGCCGCGUGCGGGAUGACGGCCUUCGGGUUGUAAACCGCUUUCGCCUGUGACGAAGCGUGAGUGACGGUAAUGGGUAAAGAAGCACCGGCUAACUACGUG